rnacentral:rRNA from 1 species
GAUGAACGCUGGCGGCGUGCCUAAUACAUGCAAGUCGAGCGAACGGACGAGAAGCUUGCUUCUCUGAUGUUAGCGGCGGACGGGUGAGUAACACGUGGAUAACCUACCUAUAAGACUGGGAUAACUUCGGGAAACCGGAGCUAAUACCGGAUAAUAUUUUGAACCGCAUGGUUCAAAAGUGAAAGACGGUCUUGCUGUCACUUAUAGAUGGAUCCGCGCUGCAUUAGCUAGUUGGUAAGGUAACGGCUUACCAAGGCAACGAUGCAUAGCCGACCUGAGAGGGUGAUCGGCCACACUGGAACUGAGACACGGUCCAGACUCCUACGGGAGGCAGCAGUAGGGAAUCUUCCGCAAUGGGCGAAAGCCUGACGGAGCAACGCCGCGUGAGUGAUGAAGGUCUUCGGAUCGUAAAACUCUGUUAUCAGGGAAGAACAUAUGUGUAAGUAACUGUGCACAUCUUGACGGUACCUAAUCAGAAAGCCACGGCUAACUACGUGCCAGCAGCCGCGGUAAUACGUAGGUGGCAAGCGUUAUCCGGAAUUAUUGGGCGUAAAGCGCGCGUAGGCGGUUUUUUAAGUCUGAUGUGAAAGCCCACGGCUCAACCGUGGAGGGUCAUUGGAAACUGGAAAACUUGAGUGCAGAAGAGGAAAGUGGAAUUCCAUGUGUAGCGGUGAAAUGCGCAGAGAUAUGGAGGAACACCAGUGGCGAAGGCGACUUUCUGGUCUGUAACUGACGCUGAUGUGCGAAAGCGUGGGGAUCAAACAGGAUUAGAUACCCUGGUAGUCCACGCCGUAAACGAUGAGUGCUAAGUGUUAGGGGGUUUCCGCCCCUUAGUGCUGCAGCUAACGCAUUAAGCACUCCGCCUGGGGAGUACGACCGCAAGGUUGAAACUCAAAGGAAUUGACGGGGACCCGCACAAGCGGUGGAGCAUGUGGUUUAAUUCGAAGCAACGCGAAGAACCUUACCAAAUCUUGACAUCCUUUGACAACUCUAGAGAUAGAGCUUUCCCCUUCGGGGGACAAAGUGACAGGUGGUGCAUGGUUGUCGUCAGCUCGUGUCGUGAGAUGUUGGGUUAAGUCCCGCAACGAGCGCAACCCUUAAGCUUAGUUGCUAUCAUUAAGUUGGGCACUCUAAGUUGACUGCCGGUGACAAACCGGAGGAAGGUGGGGAUGACGUCAAAUCAUCAUGCCCCUUAUGAUUUGGGCUACACACGUGCUACAAUGGACAAUACAAAGGGCAGCGAAACCGCGAGGUCAAGCAAAUCCCAUAAAGUUGUUCUCAGUUCGGAUUGUAGUCUGCAACUCGACUACAUGAAGCUGGAAUCGCUAGUAAUUGUAGAUCAGCAUGCUACGGUGAAUACGUUCCCGGGUCU